UCUAUCACCUCAUAACAGAGGCAGAUUUCCUGCUCUUGUGGAGGAGCCCAUAUGUGGGAUUCGGCCUUGACAUUUUGAUAAACGAAGGGUAUAUAAUGGGCUUGGAAGGUUACGUACCCGCUUAGCCAAUGCUGAAUAGAGGCCCCAUAUUGGUGGAAUCCAUAUGGCCUUAAAUAUGCCUGGCUAGUGACAUAUAGGCAAACAGCUCGU
rnacentral:misc_RNA from 1 species